rnacentral:lncRNA from 1 species
AACAAAUAUGAAUUUUUUGUUUAAGUAUAAUAAUUUAAAAUGUUUUUUCUAGAGAAUGAAGUACUGCCACUAAGGUAAAGGUGCUAACUUGCAAGGAGCUGUUCUCAAAACAUUGGGUGACAAAGAAUUCACUUUUACAAAAAUCGAGCAGGAUAUUAAAGACAGCGAACUAAGAACAAAUAUGGCGAAGCUGCAUGAAGUCUAUGUGGAAUUUUAUUAUUGAAAAAAAUAUGCUCUUCAGAUUUAAUGUUAGUUUUUAUUGUUUAACAGUAAUUGCAGUUUUCGAAUACCUGUAAAAUAAACCUAAUUCUUAAAUUAA